rnacentral:lncRNA from 1 species
GCGGCAUCUCCGCGGCGUCUUAGACUCUUCACAGUCACCCACAGACUACGCGAACACCCUGCAUAAUCGAAAAGUCUUCGAUUGAGGGCAAAGGUUGAAAGAUCUCCAAGCCGGCAUUCCACAUGGCACGAUAAACCGUACUAUACUAUCGUAGUGCGAUUCCGUUGGAAAGGCGGGGAACCCGACCGAACAUUACGCUCAGGCUAUCAGCGCUUACAGGACACGCCGCAAACGCGUAUUCAGAUGUAUUCUUGGCACUUCUCGCAAGGAUGAUUGCUCUUCCGGCAGCUUCUUCUGUAGUUAAUUGGUCAAGCUGAACAAGGAACGAUCUGGGAUUUCUUUGUGAGGUGUCUGUACCAUUCCUCCCUGCAUCGUCUUUGUCAAACAUUACGUCGGUGUAUCUUUGAGGCCAUCGGGAUUCUCGGCGGAUUAUGGUAUUCCUGUAUCGGAGCGGCGGAGCCCUUUACCACGACAAGUUCAACUACUUUUUGUGUAAUGUGUAAUCUCCGGUAUCAAGUAAUACCUCCCACUCCCUCUAUCCAACUAGCUAGUUAGCUACUGUUUACGCCAAGAACCUCGUUACAACAAGGAAAGACAGACCUGAUAUUCUAGACCCUAAGCAUGAGUCAGUCAAAGAGAUCCUCGAUUUCAAUUGUAUAAUCGCCUAUCUUCCGGUGGCUACGCUCAACUACGUCCCAAAUUCCGGCGAUCUUGGCUUGACUCAAAGUGACAAAUGUGCACCCUCUAUUCACUAGGCAAAAUGCCCACUGGCCCAUCACAGCUUGUUCAAAGCAAGGCAACCAUUGGUAGAAGAGUGAUUGUGCACUCUACUAACUGGGUUUGAAGAGUUUCCAUACCCUCAAGUUGAUUGUACGCUUGUUGGAUCCCCCCAACACAUACAAAUAGGGAUACUUUGGACCGGAGACUCUAUCCCUAUUACGCAAACCCCCCCCCCCCCCCCCCCCCCCGCUGCAAGGCUUAGGAGGUUUAAAUAACUACUUCAUUACAUAAGACCGUAUUCUCUCUCCACCUCGCCAAAGUUCUGUUUAACCAAUGUAGAUUGAUGAAAGAUGUCGUCUAUUUACAUAAACUACUA